GCGGCUGUAGCUCAGUGGAUUAGAGCGCUUGCCUACGGAGCAAUAGGUCGGGGGUUCGAAUCCCUCCAGCCGCG
rnacentral:tRNA from 1 species